UUUCAGGAUGGGAGGGGGGGACACGGACACCUCAGCAUGCAGGGAGUCAAAGCAAACACUUUUCUGAUUGUGGUUACAAAUAAUCUGCUGUCCCCUAUUUAAAAAUCCCAGUCAUGGGGAGAUGAUGUUGGGGAAAGACUUUUAAAGGUGUGAUGGAGGUGCCUUCGUAUUUAUAAUGCUAUUUGAUUCAACACUUUUACCAAAAUAAAGAUAUGAAGACAGGCAACAGGAAGCCAGCACUAAUAAACGUAGAUGCUUUAGGCAGGCAAAUACCAAGUAUUGUCUGUACACGGAAACUUUAAAGAACCCCAAAACAAACAAAUAUUGUUUGAUCAGAGAAUCUGCUGAUGCUAACUUUUAUUGCUGUUUCUAAGGUCACUAGAGUAAACUACUCAUUUUCAGGACAAGAAACAGCUACAGGGUAGUUUUGCUGUUGCUGUUCCUGUUGUACCAAAUAACUAAUGUAGACAAUCAUUAUCUGACAGCUGCUGCUCAAUGUGCAGUUGCUUGUUCUACCAGUAUCGAGUUGUGCCACCGUACUAACCUUGUGGUCGCACUUAAUUUGACGCUUGAUCAUGUAAAUUCAUUUAUUGAAGGAGAGGGCUGGCUCCUUUCUGGUGAAGUCUAUUUUUAACACUUAAGAAUAUAUAUUAUGCUCAGUGGGGGUCAGAGUGCAAUAUGCAUUCCAUGUGGAGGUACUAUACAAGUAUAUUGUUAAAGGGUUUAAACUUGAAAAUUGUGUUGAUAAAACUCAUAGAUGAAGUCCUGAGAAGCUUUCUGCCUCUCAAAAUUGGUGCAAAACCCCUCGCUGUGGGGGGAAGGGGAGGGGGCAAGGGCUAGGGGAAGAAAGAGGGGUGUAUCCUUUAGUAAACAAGUUCAAACAUUUUCACUUCGUAGGUCCUACUUCUAUGUAGUAAGACAGUCAUUGUGACAUCCUCAGUGGUUUUAUUUCCCUCAUGCGGCUGUAAAAAUUUUUUUUUUUUUUUUCAGUUUUAUAACUCCGCUUUAAGCAGAUUAUUGCUGUAGUUGUGAGCUUCAAAGUUUUGUUCAGGCGUGUUGUGUGUUAGUUACAUAUGUUGGUUAUCUCAGUUUAACUGUUUUGAAGCUUGUGUUUUACAGGCUGGACACUUUCCCACAGGAAGCACACUUGCACUUCUGCAGCAGAAACCUGCACUAGUUUUAGCUUCACUCUCAGUGACAGGCUGGACUCUAGAAUUACUAUUGCAACACAGUACACACACUUAGUGAAAAGUCUGAUUGUGUUAUUGAAAGCAAUUGCACAAAGGGACCAAGUACUGCUGCCUCCUAGUGUCAAUUAUAUUGCAUCAGUAAAGGUUUCAUUACUCACAAUUUUAAUCUUACUAAGGAGUCCUAGAAUACAUGAAGUAAUAAUCUGAUUUUUAAACCUGCCUUUUAAGCAUAAAGCUAUAAAAAUACAGACAACUCUUGUUCAAGCUUACCUAUUGAAGGUUUUAUAGCUUUUAAGUCUAGGAAUGCAAAGUAUGAUUAAGAAUGUUUUAUACACAACAAAAUCCCUUUAUUUCAAUUUCUAAUAAACCACAAGCUAGAACUUCCUAAACUUAUAGAACAGUGCCCUAGAUUGGGGAAAAUGAUUUCAGAGGAUGCCUUUACUCCAUAAGAUUGUUUUAAUUUCCUUUUAUGCUGUGUUUUCCCCUUUAAAUAGCUGCUGUAAAUAUGCUUAGGUUGCUUCCGAUGCUGGUUCAAUUUGGAAAGCCACCCUAGCUUUGAACAACACUGUCAAAGCACCAACUCAGUAGUGUUUAACAGCCUUAUUCAACACAAACUCUGCCUGUUCCUGUUGCUCACAGGCUUUGUAGGCUUUCUGUAACUACAGCAAAUGGACUGUGCCCUCAGUGCAUUUUGUCACAUUCAACAGUUUCCAUGAUUGUGUAGGGCAGGACUCACCUUGCCAUGCUUUUGAAGACAGCUUCUACAGUUCCCUCCUCCCACAGGGAAUGGAGGAGACAAGAUGACUAUGUGCCUGCCUUAAAUACCCAUUUUUGGAGAAGAUGUAUCUCCCAUUAGGUGUUGGGUUUUUUUCAAUAAUUAUAGGAGGCUUACAUGUCUUCUGCCUUGGAUAUUGGGUACCAAACUUUAAACAUCUCAAAUAGACUUUUUCUAGGUGUUCAACAAAGCAUGAGAAUUUUCAACAGCAUCAAGACUGCUGUAUACUGAGACUAUCUAGUUCUAAUCCUUGUCCAGUCAAGAGCUGUUCCCCAUAAAGACCACUUUUUAGAAGACAGUAGAGACAGUAAUUUAGGUCAAGUGAGUCAUUGUUUUGAUUUUUCAAAGGAUCUGUAGCUAAAAAUAAUCCCUGGGUGCUAUGUUGGUACUAUCUUGGUUUAAGUAAUAAAAUGCCUCAAGUGAGGGGUAAAUUAUUCUGUGAAUCGGGCAGCCUUCCUGCAUUUGGGCAUUAUUUGACUAAAAAGCUAGUGGUUUGCUUAGACUACAUGAAAUAGUAUAGUUCUGGUCACUGCAAGCUGUAUGUGCAAAGUAUUUGGUCUGAAAACUGUUGGUGUUGUGAUACUAACAAAUGAAAAGCCAACUGAAUUGUAAAGUAGAACUUAUUAGAUGUAAAAGCUUUAACUGUAUUUCAUAGAUUCUUACAGAGGGGCCAUUUUGCUUCAAAUUGGACUCACUAAAAAAUUUAUAGUAAAUAUCUCUCUAUCAAUUAAGGAAGUUCUGAACUUUGUCUUGCAUGGACUCUUGAAUCCAGUCAAGAGAAGAACGCAUCUCACUCCUGUUUUAGAAAUAAAACUUUUUUGGUAAGAACACAGGAAAUUUUCAGUUCUCCAAAGUCUUCAUGAAAAUAACUGUUUAUUCCUUUUUGCUUCUGAAAGUACUUAGCUAAGUGAAACAGGAAUUUUACAGUGUGUAAUGCUGCAAUUUAAUUAUAGUGUUGUGAAGACUAGUGUUUACAGUGUAAAAUGUUACCAUGAAAACUGCGUCAAGAAUGUCCCUGUAAAAUACAGUAGCAUGCCUGUUCAGUCACUGCUGUCACAUCUUCACAACUAUGAAAUACUGACUUUUCCACUGGAUGCUGAGAUAGUCAAGGUGAUCACUAAACUUAGAGCCAAACUUUACAAACCUGAGGGACAGACCUGAAUUUUUGGUAAGUAUUUUAUCCAGGUAGCAAAUGCACAUUUAAACUGAAUUUUUAACACGUAGUGAAGUGUAUCCGUUUUAAUUUUUUAUGGUAUAAUGCAGUGCCACUGAACUAUAAAGGACUCUCUGACUUUUUUCUUUUUUACUGUGAUAGGGACCAAAUGCUAGCAAUCUGAGGGUCUUACGUGUGGUAACCUGGAUGUUCCAGUUUAUUUUCCAGCUCAGACAGUGCAUUCAGCAGCAAAGCCAUAUAUGGAGCCUGACUCAACACCUUGACAGUAGCCCCAAUGAAAUUAUGGGCACAAUUGAGGGGGAAGAUGCCUCAGCUAUUGUUAGCACUGAAUUCACUUUAAAAACAAUAGGGAUAUACCAUCUAAGCUUGAAGCAAUAUGUGUUUUUUAAAGUUUUUAAACAGUAUUUGUUUUUAAUGCUUCUGUAUUGUCUAUAUUUAAUAGUGUAGUGUCAGCUUGUACAUGUGAAUAAAAUGAGUGACACAAAGUG